rnacentral:rRNA from 1 species
UACGUAGGGGGCAAGCGUUGUCCGGAAUUAUUGGGCGUAAAGAGCGUGUAGGCGGUCCGGUAAGUCAGCUGUGAAAGUCAAGGGCUCAACCCUUGAAAGCCGGUUGAUACUGUCGGGCUAGAGUCCGGAAGAGGCGAGUGGAAUUCCCGGUGUAGCGGUGAAAUGCGCAGAUAUCGGGAGGAACACCAAGGGCGAAGGCAGCGCGCUGGGACGGUACUGACGCUGAGACGCGAAAGCGUGGGGAGCGAACAGG